UGGGGAAUAUUGCACAACGGGCGGAAGCCUGAUGCAGCGACGCCGCGUGAGGGAUGACGGCCUUCGGGUUGUAAACCUCUUUCAGCAGGGACGAAGCGUAAGUGACGGUACCUGCAGAAGAAGCGCCGGCCAACUACGUGCCAGCAGCCGCGGUAAGACGUAGGGCGCGAGCGUUGUCCGGAUUUAUUGGGCGUAAAGAGCUCGUAGGCGGCUUGUCGCGUCGACUGUGAAAUCUCAGGGCUCAACUCUGACAUUGCAGUCGAUACGGGCAGGCUAGAGUCCGGUAGGGGAGACUGGAAUUCCUGGUGUAGCGGUGAAAUGCGCAGAUAUCAGGAGGAACACCGAUGGCGAAGGCAGGUCUCUGGGCCGAUACUGACGCUGAGGAGCGAAAGCGUGGGGAGCGAAC
rnacentral:rRNA from 1 species